GACGAACGCUGGCGGCGUGCUUAACACAUGCAAGUCGAACGGAAAGGCCCUGCUUUUGUGGGGUGCUCGAGUGGCGAACGGGUGAGUAACACGUGAGUAACCUGCCCUUGACUUUGGGAUAACUUCAGGAAACUGGGGCUAAUACCGGAUAGGAGCUCCUGCUGCAUGGUGGGGGUGGGAAAGUUUCGGCGGUUGGGGAUGGACUCGCGGCUUAUCAGCUUGUUGGUGGGGUAGUGGCUUACCAAGGCUUUGACGGGUAGCCGGCCUGAGAGGGUGACCGGCCACAUUGGGACUGAGAUACGGCCCAGACUCCUACGGGAGGCAGCAGUGGGGAAUAUUGCACAAUGGGCGGAAGCCUGAUGCAGCAACGCCGCGUGCGGGAUGACGGCCUUCGGGUUGGAAACCGCUUUCGCCUGUGACGAAGCGUGAGUGACGGUAAUGGGUAAAGAAGCACCGGCUAACUACGUG
rnacentral:rRNA from 1 species